ensembl:lncRNA NFE2L1-DT NFE2L1 divergent transcript
GGCCCUAGUGUCUGGCAUUCUGGGCCCCUCGGCCGCGCCUUCGCGGCGGGCGAUGUUAGUGGGCUUGGGCGUUGGGUGAAGUAUCCAGGUUGGGCGCUUCCAGCGCUUUCUGUGGCGGGGGAAUGAAGGCCUAGGUCAGGGAAUAGGAAGGUGUAUCGCCGCCAGAGUGCGGAACACCCUCGCCUUGAGGGUUCCCACAGUGACUUGCAAAAGUCUAGUGAGACCCGAGAAUGCUGAGGCGGGACACGAAGCAUGUGGUUCUUGUGGUUGCGACGCUCGUGCCGCCAUCUUGGGUGCUGGCGGCGGAAACCGGUACCCCAACUUCCCCUCGGUGCGAACCUGGAGAAGCCACCCCAGCUGUGAGGGACGGUUGCGCCUCAUGGCCCAGGCAAGGGUACCUUCGCUGGAGCAGUACCGCGGACGGAUAUCAUGAGGGUGGUGGGACGUUGGCGGAACGUUGGCGGAACGUUGGCGGUGUGAGAGGUGUGGGGUAAUGGCGAUUUUUGUCAUGGUAGAAACAGCCCAAAGGACCCCCCUCGUUUGGCCUCCCACGCAGCUUAGUCUUGCUUUUUUAGGGAUGUUUCUCAUUUUUUAAUUUCUCCAGUCCCAUCUGGUUAUAUUGCCAAAACAUGUUUGUGACUCUCAAACGUUAGUUUACUCCCAGCAUCACUUGGGGAGCUUGCUAAGCUACGAAUUCCGAGGUCCCACUGGAGAGUCUGAUUUAAUGACCCUGGAGUGGCGGCCGGAUAACCUGCCUGCUGGGGUGAUUUUAACGCAGCUGAUGCGAAGACCCCAUUUAGGGAAUCAUUGGGUUGGCGUUUGCAAUGCGUUCCUCCCAGCUAUAGGACAAAGAGGUGUCAACUCAACUGUGUCUUCUUAGAAGAGCCCAUUAUUUAUAGGUGAGUCAUUAGUCCCUGUACAACUAAGGACAAGGCCAACUGAUAACUCAGUAAAUAAUCGAGUCCAUUUUGUGCUUGCGAGUUAGGGGCUUAAUUUGGGGUGGUUUGCAGAUUAAGUACUUUCACUGCAUAUAAUAAACGUACACCAGCAAACCACUCAUGGAAUUCUUAAAAAAACUUCUGAGCUAGUUUACCAGUUUCAAAGACUAAUUCAGAGAGCAUGUUUUACCUAUUCUAGGCUGGACUGGAACUCCUGGACUCAAGCGAUCUUUCCAUUUAUCAGGGACUACUGACGCGUGUCUCCCAAUAAAUACCUGAGUAUAAACAACAUGAGGACUAGAAUUUUGUGCGUUAACUGUUAUAACUUAGUAGACACUCAAAUACUGAGUACUUGAAGGGGGACUCAAGCAGGCAGGCCUCUGAUUUUCCUGUUAAAAGCAGAAAUUAACCACACCUUGGAGGAUGUACAGUUUUGAAGGAUAUGGCAUGUUAACAAUAAAAUAGGAGACCAUUCAGUCCCCGAAGUAGUGAGACAAUGAAGAUAAAGACUGGUAUUGUAUAAGAAAGGAGGAAUAUUUAGGUGUGGCCAUCAACUCUAAAAAUAAAUAAGGUUGAGAAGGAAGUAUUUUAAACAUAGAACUGGGCCCGGCGCAGUGGCUCACAGUAGCACCUUGGGAGGCCGAGGCGGGAGGAUUGCUUGACCAGCCUGGGCAGCAUAGUGAGACCCCCGUCGCUACAAAAAAACAAGCUGGGCUUGGUGCCACACAUCUAUAGUCCCAACUACUCAGGAGGCUGAGGUGGGAGGAUUUCUUGAGCUGGGAGAUUGAGGCUGCAGUGAGCUAUGAUGGUGCCAGUCUGGGCAACAGUGAGAUGCUUCCUCAACAAAACAAAACAUAAAAUUGAGAGAUAUAAAGGCUCAACUACAGUGUUUAACUACAAGACAAUUUUGAGAAGGUGAAAAGAGCAUACUAAAGUUGGUCUUUUUUUGACAGAAAAAUACAGAACAAUUUUCAGUCCUAACAGUUCAAACUAAAACUGGACAAUCGUUUAUCUGUGGAGUUUCCUGCUUAGCCAUUUCACAAAGGUGGGCAGAAAAAGGGAAAGAGUUGCAAGGGCCGAAGAGAGUAAAGGUGUAGAGACAAACUCAGUCGCAACAGCAGGCCUAGGCCUGGCAGGGUGUGGGCGCCCAGGAUAUUUGAUGCUCCAUGGAAGGGAGUGGAGACAGAAAGACUGUCUUCCAUUCUGUCUAGAGUUCCAGAUCAAGUCUGAGCAGGUGCAAGCUUUCCCAGAACCUGCUGAUUAACCUUGUAAAACCCAGGGUGUGUCCUUCUUCACCCAGGAAGCCACCCCCUCCUUUCCCCCAACACUCUCCCCCUCCCUUUGCCUGGGACAGCUGUUAAUAGGACAGUUACCCAAGAAGCAAAAGAAGGAUCCCAUGCUGAUGUGUCAUCAGUCCCGGUAUAUCCAUUAAAUCAGACUGAGAAGACCACUGGAAAAAGUGAGCGCAUGCAUGUGGCUCCCUAAGGGAAAGGCUGGCAGCCAUUGUAAAACUAGGCCUUGCCCCUGCGACUCCAGGCUGGGCAGGAGAGAGAAGAAGGCAGUGGAAGCCGAGAAGAGGGUUAGGUCUAAAGCACACGGAUUUGGGGCCAGCUAACUAUAAAACAUACACGGAAAUCCCCACCCCCACCCCAGGAAUAGCAGUGUAGUGUCUACCGACCCAGCUUCCCUGGUAGGAAAAGCUGCUGCUGCCGCCAACAGCCACAUCCAUCCUGCAGUCAUCCCUGGAGGAUGACACAUGCCAGGAAUCCUCAGAGAAGGGGCUGUGGGAGGGCAGGCUGGCUGGGGCUCUGAUUUCUUCUGGAACAGUGAAAUUGCUUUUUCCCUAAAAGGGAAACCCAGGCUUUCUGCCAUUCUGGUUGUCCAUUAUCUUUCCUCUAAAAAUGUCUCUAAGGCCAGGCACAGUGGCUCACACCUGUAACCCCAGCACUUCGAGAGGCCCAGGUGGGCAGAUCACUUGAGCCAGGAGUUUGAGACCAGCCUGGCCAACAUAGUGAAAACCCAUCUCUAC